rnacentral:rRNA from 1 species
UACAGAGGGUGCGAGCGUUAAUCGGAAUUACUGGGCGUAAAGCGCGCGUAGGCGGCUUUGCAAGUCGGGUGUGAAAUCCCCAGGCUUAACCUGGGAACUGCAUUCGAGACUGCAUUGCUAGAGUAUGGGAGAGGGAAGUGGAAUUUCCGGUGUAGCGGUGAAAUGCGUAGAUAUCGGAAGGAACAUCAGUGGCGAAGGCGGCUUUCUGGUCUGUAACUGACGCUGAGGCGCGAAAGCGUGGGGAGCAAACAGG